GACUGCUCUGGUGGCCUAGGUGGUUAGAGCCUCCGUCUUAGAUGCAAGAGGUUGUGGGUUCAAAUCCCAGCUGAGUCA